UACGUAGGUGGCAAGCGUUGUCCGGAAUUAUUGGGCGUAAAGCGCGCGCAGGCGGUCUCUUAAGUCUGAUGUGAAAUCUCGUGGCUCAACCACGAGCGGUCAUUGGAAACUGGGAGACUUGAGUACAGAAGAGGAGAGUGGAAUUCCACGUGUAGCGGUGAAAUGCGUAGAUAUGUGGAGGAACACCAGUGGCGAAGGCGACUCUCUGGUCUGUAACUGACGCUGAGGCGCGAAAGCGUGGGGAGCAAACAGG
rnacentral:rRNA from 1 species